CAACUACUCCCUCUAUCCCAAAUUUCUUGUCUUAGAUUUGUCUAGAUACGGAUGUAUCUAAUACUAAAAUGUGACUUGAUACAUCCGUAUCUAGACAAAUCUAAGACAAGAAUUUUGGGACGGAGAGAGUACUUU
rnacentral:pre_miRNA from 1 species